CAGCCGCCGCGGUAAUACGUAGGUGGCAAGCGUUGUCCGGAAUUAUUGGGCGUAAAGGGCUCGCAGGCGGUUUCUUAAGUCUGAUGUGAAAGCCCCCGGCUCAACCGGGGAGGGUCAUUGGAAACUGGGAAACUUGAGUGCAGAAGAGGAGAGUGGAAUUCCACGUGUAGCGGUGAAAUGCGUAGAGAUGUGGAGGAACACCAGUGGCGAAGGCGACUCUCUGGUCUGUAACUGACGCUGAGGAGCGAAAGCGUGGGGAGCGAAUAGGAUUAGAUACCCCCGUAGUCCCUGUCUCUUAUAC
rnacentral:rRNA from 1 species